GUGAGGAAUCUUCCGCAAUGGGCGAAAGCCUGACGGAGCAACAUCGCGUGGAGGAUGAAGGUCGUAAGAUUGUAAACUCCUUUUCUGAGGGAUGAAUUCUGACCGUACCUCAGGAAUAAGCAACGGCUAACUACGUGCCAGCAGCCGCGGUAAGACGUAGGUUGCAAGCGUUAUCCGGAAUUAUUGGGCGUAAAGAGUUCGUAGGCGGCUAACUAAGUUGGAUGUUAAAGAUUUAAGCUCAACUUAAACAAGGUGUCCAAAACUAUUUAGCUAGAGACAGGUAGAGGCAAGUGGAAUUCUGCAUGUAGGGGUAAUAUCCGUAGAUAUGCAGAGGAACACCAAAAGCGAAGGCAGCUUGCUGGACCUGUUCUGACGCUCAAGAACGAAAGCGUGGGUAGCAAACGGGAUUAGAAACCCGAGUAGUCC
rnacentral:rRNA from 1 species